rnacentral:lncRNA from 1 species
AAAGGGCAGCCACUCUCCCCACAUACAACACACACCCAAGCCUAGGAAGAGACAGGGGACAGAGGCUGGGGACAGAGGCACAAGAGUCAGGUAGAUGACACCUCAGCCCUAGGCCACCAAAGGGCUAGGAUGAGCUGGUCAGGAGCUCCCAGAAGCCACACCUAGCUCUGGUGGCCUCACAGUUGACCUCUCCACCUGGCCCAGGAGGAGCUGGACUCUUACCGCCUAGACAGCAUCCAGGCCAUGAAUGUGGCGCUCAACACAUGUUCCUACAACUCCAUCCUGUCCAUCACCGUGCAGGAGCCGGGCCUGCCAGGCACUAGCACUCUGCUCUUCCAGUGCCAGGAAGUGGGGGCAGAGCGACUGAAGACCAGCCUGCAGAAGGCUCUGGAGGAAGAGCUGGAGCAAAGCAGACCUCGACUUGGAGGCCUUCAGCCAGGCCAGGACAGAUGGAGGGGGCCUGCUAUGGAAAGGCCGCUCCCUAUGGAGCAGGCACGCUAUCUGGAGCCGGGGAUCCCUCCAGAACAGCCCCACCAGAGGACCCUAGAGCACAGCCUCCCACCAUCCCCAAGGCCCCUGCCACGCCACACCAGUGCCCGAGAACCAAGUGCCUUUACUCUGCCUCCUCCA